rnacentral:lncRNA from 1 species
GAUGGUGCUAGCAUAUAUAAGACUGAAACACCAAAGGCCUCCGUGGAAGUUAAUGAACUUCUGGUUAUGAGUUGGAUUCUUCAGCGGAGUAUUUGAGCCAUGCAUACUUCAAGUUGCUGCAUCCAGUUUUAAACUCCAGAUUGGGCUUUACAUAUUAAACAUGCACAUUUGUUUUCACAUUUUUGAGCUUUGCCAGUGGCACCCUCUCUAAUUAAUCAUCCCACGGGCUUAGAAAACUU